rnacentral:rRNA from 1 species
UACGUAGGGGGCUAGCGUUGUCCGGAUUUAUUGGGCGUAAAGAGCGUGUAGGCGGCCAGGUAGGUCUGCUGUGAAAACUCGAGGCUCAACCUCGAGACGCCGAUGGAAACCGUCUGGCUAGAGUCCGGAAGAGGAGAGUGGAAUUCCUGGUGUAGCGGUGAAAUGCGCAGAUAUCAGGAAGAACACCCGUGGCUAAGGCGGCUCUCUAGUACGGUACUGACGCUGAGACGCGAAAGCGUGGGGAGCGAACAGG